rnacentral:Y_RNA from 1 species
GACUGGUCCAAUUGCAGUGUUGCUUACAACUAAUUCAUCACAACCAGUUAUAGAUUUGUUUCUUCUCCAUUCCCAUUGCUUCACUUGACUAGCCUAAA